ACCUGAAACGAUUUCGGGCUUUUGAAUCAUCACAGC
rnacentral:sRNA from 1 species